UCGAGGGGUAACGGAAGUAGCUUGCUACUAGACGACGACCGGCGCACGGGUGAGUAACGCGUAUGUAAUCUGCCUUGUACAGAGGGAUAGCCCAGAGAAAUUUGGAUUAAUACCUCAUAGUAUUACCGAAUCGCAUGAUUCGGUAAUUAAAGCUCCGGCGGUACAAGAUGAACAUGCGUGACAUUAGCUAGUUGGUAAGGUAAUGGCUUACCAAGGCCACGAUGUCUAGGGGUUCUGAGAGGAUGAUCCCCCACACUGGUACUGAGACACGGACCAGACUCCUACGGGAGGCAGCAGUGAGGAAUAUUGGUCAAUGGACGCAAGUCUGAACCAGCCAUCCCGCGUGAAGGAUGACUGCCCUAUGGGUUGUAAACUUCUUUUAUAUGCAAAUAAACCUACUUUCGUGAAAGUA
rnacentral:rRNA from 1 species